UGCCUCUGUUUGAGUCUCAUCCAACUACGCACAUGCUUAUAUAACAACACCAAGGAAGCUGCUGCCGCGCCUGUCCUGUAUGUAACAACACCAGCAAAAGGUGGACGUCACCAGAAGGUCAUGUUAGUGGCAGUGUCACGAAGGGCACAACACCGCAUGGAAAUGCUUGACCUCCGCGAGGUCUUGUUAAACCAACUGGGGAUGAGGCUAUUAAAUUGUACUUGGAGAGGUACAAAGGAACACCUCCUCCACACGUGACUGCAGCCCUAGCAGCACGCCAUGUUAGCUAGAGCUGAACAUUAGAUAAAAGAGAGUAUUAGGCAUUAGAAACCCCCCCCCCCCCCCAUUGCCUCUCUAGUUGCGAGUAAUUCCUUAGGCUUCACACCUUAUCCGGUAAUCCUUGCCAAAUAAGGUUUUAAGUUGUACUGCGUCUCUCACGUUCCUUCUUAUUAAUACUAGUAAACAUGCCCGUGCGUUGCAACGGGAGAAAAAAAUAUCAAAUGUUUAUAAAAAGCAGUGAUCAAAAUGAUACAUAUCUAUUUAUGUUGCACAAAAUUUUAAAGCUACGGUUUAUUUUAAGAUGAGUAUUACAUCUACAAUAUAAGUUAAUGUUGACAAUAAUAUGAUAUUGUUCUUUUAAUCCAAUAUCAAAUUUAAAAUAUUUUUUGAUAUAUUUUCUCCAAUAAAAUAUUUAGUUGUAAAUAUAUUAGAAUUUUAAUUUCUUAUUUUCUUAAUGUACAUAUGUUGGUACAAUAAUCAGAAAAGCAUAGGUAGAGAAAACUUCCACUGAGCAACGGACGGUUCCAUAAUAGAGAAAAUUGAACGUGUUUUUUUUUUGGAAUUAUAGGCAUGGACUAUUAGAAUGUUGCUAAAAUUAGACACACCACACGUAAUGACACCAUAUAGAAAAAAAAUCAUUACUUCUAAGCUGAGUCUUUGUUUAGUUACCAAAAAAUUUGUAAAAUUUUUCAGAUUUUCUGACACAUCGAAUCUUGCGGCAUAUGCAUAGAGCAUUAAAUAUAGAUUAAAAAAUAACUAAUUGUAUAGUUUGACUGUAAUUUGCGAGACGAAUUUUUUAAGUGUAGUUAAUAUGAUUGCAAACGAAGUGUUACAGUAUCCAUUUUUGUUAAGAAAUUUUAAAACUAAAUAAGGCCCAAACCAAGAGAAGAGCUUCAUAAAGCCGAAGAGGAGAUCAAUCAAGGGGAGAGAAUACGUACGUGGCACCUCCUGCUCCACAUCUUUCUGCUGCAUAUAUAUAUCCAAACGCAUGUCCUUUGGUCCGUCAUCCGCUCCGCCACGCGCUUGGAUUCAGGCAAGUAGGUGACCUCGGCGCCCCCUUCGCUAGCCCACGAGCAUGUAGAUCCGGAGUUGUGGCCGAGCCGUUUGGAGUUACCGGUGUUUGAUGGUGGCGUCAUUAGGCCGGUCGGUGGCGCACGAGAGCCCAACACAGGGGAGUUUCCUUCGGUGCAUCAUCUCCACCCGCAUCCUCUAGCGCGCUUCCUCUCUCUCUCGAUCUGAUGUUGGCGCGCCACCUCCAUCCGCAUCCUUUAGCGCGCCUCCUCCCUCUCGAUCUGAUGUUGUUGUGGCAUGAUUACGGAUUUUUCCUUCCUUCCCUUCUUUGAACUGUCAUUUUUCGAUUUCGAAUGGUUAUACAGUUCGAUUCAAUCUACUGCCUAAAUGUGUUUAAUUUAUGGUCGAUUUUGGUAUGAAUUUUGGAUCCUUGUGCAAGAUUUGAAGAAUGUUGUUUUUUGUGAUGGAUUUUUAUGGUAGGGCUUGUGUAUGUUAGCAUAGUAUGUGUUCGAUUUAGAGCUCUUUUUUAUUCGAGUUGGAUUUUUUGGCCGAUUUCUUCUUUCCUUAUUUUUGUCUGAGGGCCGAGGAAGAGAUGUCAGACGAAAAUUAUGGCCAGACAAAAAUUUUAGCUGUGAUUUCGUUUUGGACUCGAUCUGAAAUUGGGCACCAAGUUAUUUUGUGUGCGUGUUGGAUUUGAUUUU
rnacentral:lncRNA from 1 species